CAUGCAAGUCUACUUGAUCCUUCGGGUGAAGGUGGCGGACGGGUGAGUAACGCGUAAAGAACUUGCCUUACAGACUGGGACAACAUUUGGAAACGAAUGCUAAUACCGGAUAUUAUGACUGAGUCGCAUGAUUUGGUUAUGAAAGCUAUAUGCGCUGUGAGAGAGCUUUGCGUCCCAUUAGUUAGUUGGUGAGGUAACGGCUCACCAAGACGAUGAUGGGUAGCCGGCCUGAGAGGGUGAACGGCCACAAGGGGACUGAGACACGGCCCUUACUCCUACGGGAGGCAGCAGUGGGGAAUAUUGGACAAUGGACCAAAAGUCUGAUCCAGCAAUUCUGUGUGCACGAUGAAGUUUUUCGGAAUGUAAAGUGCUUUCAGUUGGGAAGAAGUCAGUGACGGUACCAACAGAAGAAGCGACGGCUAAAUACGUGCCAGCAGCCGCGGUAAUACGUAUGUCGCAAGCGUUAUCCGGAUUUAUUGGGCGUAAAGCGCGUCUAGGCGGUUUAGUAAGUCUGAUGUGAAAAUGCGGGGCUCAANCCCCGUAUUGCGUUGGAAACUGUUAAAACUAGAGUACUGGAGAGGUAGGCGGAACUACAAGUGUAGAGGUGAAAUUCGUAGAUAUUUUGUAGGAAUGCCGAUGGGGAAGCCAGCCUACUGGACAGAUACUGACGCUAAAGCGCGAAAGCGUGGGUAGCAAACAGGAUUAGAUACCCUGGUAGUCCACGCCGUAAACGAUGAUUACUAGGUGUUUGGGGGUCGAACCUCAGCGCCCAAGCUAACGCGAUAAGUAAUCCGCCUGGGGAGUACCGUACGCAAGUAUGAAACUCNAAAGGAAUUGACGGGGACCCGCACAAGCGGUGGAGCAUGUGGUUUAAUUCGACGCAACGCGAGGAACCUUACCAGCGUUUGACAUCCCAAGAAGUUAACAGAGAUGUUUUCGUGCCUCUUCGGAGGAACUUGGUGACAGGUGGUGCAUGGCUGUCGUCAGCUCGUGUCGUGAGAUGUUGGGUUAAGUCCCGCAACGAGCGCAACCCCUUUCGUAUGUUACCAUCAUUAAGUUGGGGACUCAUGCGAGACUGCCUGCGAUGAGCAGGAGGAAGGUGGGGAUGACGUCAAGUCAUCAUGCCCCUUAUACGCUGGGCUACACACGUGCUACAAUGGGUAGUACAGAGAGCUGCAAACCUGCGAGGGUAAGCUAAUCUCAUAAAACUAUUCUUAGUUCGGAUUGUACUCUGCAACUCGAGUACAUGAAGUUGGAAUCGCUAGUAAUCGCAAAUCAGCUAUGUUGCGGUGAAUACGUUCUCGGGUCUUGUACACACCGCCCGUCACACCACGAGAGUUGGUUGCACCUGAAGUAAUCAGGCCUAACCGUAAGGAGGGAUUUCCGAGGG
rnacentral:rRNA from 1 species